rnacentral:lncRNA from 1 species
CGCGCCAUUGUCGCCUUCUUCUUCUUCUGCAUUGCUGAGUGUCAACUGUAAGUACCGAUCCACCGUCGUCGUCGACAUGCCAGUUGUGGCUCCAUUGUUACCUUGGAGGAAUAAAACCAACGAACCUGGAGAUCUCACCCGCCAUUGUGAAUUGUGAGGCACCUGUAAAUAUAUGUUGGGAGCUUAAUUAGGGUGGUAAGGGAGUCAGUAGCGUGCAUCCAGGGGGCUUUGAGGCUCAUUAUGAGAUGAGAUGAGAUAUGUUGUUCCCCUGUUUAAGUUUUGUCUGUAAAAGAAACCAUUCUCUGGUUAUUGUGUUAUUGUAUCAGUGUAACUUGAGUUGUCUCAUGUGAUGAGCCAUCGCCUCGUUGAUCACUGAUAUGAUGAGAUGUGUUCUUCCCCCCGUUUAAGUCUUGUUGUAUUUGAUCAUUUGUUUAAUUGCCAUGUUUAAGUCUUGUUAUAUCUAUCAUCCUCUACUUGGAAUACACCAAGAAACUAUUUCCGCCUCAAAAUAAGUGUUGUGGUUUUAGUACAAUAGUGUGGUUUUAGUACGAUAGUGUUGUAUAAAAAAACAAGCAAGUGAAAUUAACGGAAACUAUAAUGUGUUGGAUAAUCAGCAACUGGUGUUCACUGAGGACCAAAGGCCAUUACGUAUACAUGUGUGGUUAAGUGUAGAAAGCCCCUUAUAUAAUGGGAUGUACAGAAAAGGGACUAUACAUAUCUAACACCCCCGUCAAACUCAUGGUGGAUCAACAACACUGGAUUUGGAGAGAAUAAAAUCAUGUUGCGCUCAAGUCUGUGCCUUCAUGUAGGAGUCUGCCAACUGUAACUCAGAGGGCACAUAGUGAAGAGCAAGAGUCUGAUCCUGCACAACAUCACGCAUAAAAUGGGCAUCCGCACCGAUGUGCUUGGUGAGCUCAUGCUUCACCGGGUCACAUGUAAUACUGAAAGCACCGGUACUGUCAGACAAUAAGGGAGUCGAGGUAGUAGCAGACACCCCAAAAUCCUCAAGUAACCACCGUAACCAGAUCACCAAAGCCGUUAACAUAGCCAUGACUCGCAACUCGGCCUCUAUACUAGAGCGAGAAACUGCAGUCUGUUUCUUUGUCUUUCAGGCAAUGAGAGAGCCACCAAAAAAGACACAGUAAGCAGAUAGCGAGCUCGAUCAGAGGGAUCACUAGCCCAGGUAGCAUCAGAGUAGGCCUGGAGCUCAAGGGAGCUGGAGCGGGGAAAGAAAAGGCGUUGAGGGAUCGUGCCAUGAAGAUAUCGUAGAACACGGAGGAGAUGACUAUAGUGGACAGAGGUGGGGGCUGAGACAAACUGACUCGGGAUGUGAACAUGAUAGGAGAUGUCAGGACGUGUAACAGUAAGAUAGACAAGGCUGCCAACGAGGUGACGAUAGCGAGUGGGAUUAGGAAGAGGGUCACCAUCAGAGGCACGAAGCUGAACGUUGAGCUCCAUAGGAGUCACAAUUGUGAGCUCAUCACCGAGAGCAGCGCGAGCAGGAAGAUCCGGAAUAUAUUUUUCUUGGGAGAUGUAGAAGCCAUCAGAGGUCGAGGAGAUCUCAAUCCCAAGAAAAUAGCGAAGUGGACCAAGAUUAGUCAUGAGGAACUGGUCACGAAGGCGGCCUUAACAAAGGCAAUGUAGUCAGAGUCGUCACCAGUGAUGAUCAUGUCAUCAACAUAGAGAAGGAGAAGAGUUUGACCACGAGGAGACAUGUGAACAAAUAACGCGGGAUCAUGAUCACUGGGCAAGAAACCAGCGGCAGUUACCAUAGAGGUGAAGCGCUCAAAUCAGGCGCGAGGGGCCUGUUUAAGACCAUAGAGGGAGCGGCGAAGUCUACAGACCAUACCAUCAGGGGCAUAGUACCCCGGUGGUGGCUGCAUAUAAACCUCCUCACGCAACUCGCCAUUAAAAAAGGCGUUCUGGACAUCAAGUUGAGAGAUAGAUCAAUGACGAACAGAAACCACAACAAGGAGAGUGCGAACAAUGGUCAUGUGGGUCACAGGAGCGAAUGUCUCAUCAUAAUCGCGUCCUUGCUCCUGCUGAAAACCACGAGCCACAAGACGAGCUUUGUAGCGCUCAAGAGAACCAUCGGAGCGAGUCUUAAUCUUGUAGACCCACUUGCAGGUGAUGGGACGAACACCGGAAGGGAGAGAAGCCAAAUCCCAUGUGCCAGAGCGCUCAAGGGCAGCAAGCUCUUCGGGCAUCGCAAGCGGCCAUUUAGGCUGAGUCAUGGCAGUUGUAAGGGCAUAUUUAUCCCCAAGGUGUUUUGGUGAUUGAUGACAAUGCUUUUGUGGACUAAUCAUGUGCGUUGAGAUUUUCAGAGAUUCAUCCUUUGGCACGAGACGAUUCCCUCCCCUUGGUGUUUUAUUCAAGACGGUGCAGCUCCUUCGUUUCUCUGUUGGGGGACUAGUUUCGUAGGAGUCACCGUACUAUCAGGGGGGAUCCGCUUUGAUAAGGCUAGGGUGGAAUCAACACGUACACAUCCUUAUCGCACCUGCUGAUCCUUCCCGCUUCAAUGGAGUUUUCCUUCCCUUCCUGGCUUGCCCUGUUUGGUCCCAGCGGUAGUACCGCGGGCCACAGCGGUAGUACCGCCGAAGCACAACAAGCGGUAGUACCGCUUCUCAGCGAUAGUACCGCUUGAUGUCUUCCGCCGUAGUAUCGAUGUGGCUCCGGGCUACUACCGCCUCGACUCGAGGCCUCGUUUUCUCGUGUCGGGUUCUGCGGCACUAGCUGGGGCAGUAGUGGCGGUAGUAUCGCUCUCGAGCGGUAGUACCGCCCUUACCACCGCGGUAGUACCGCUCUGGGUCCAGGACCUUGCUCCCCUCACGUGCACGGCAGUACCGCUAGGUGGCACGGUAGUACCGCUGGCUCAGCGGUAGUACCGCCCACCCAAGCGGUAGUACCGCUCUCCGCGGGGCUGCUUGGGGGGCCAGUGAUCUCGGCGGCGCGCCAUUGUCGCCGCCUUCUUCUGCAUUGUUGAGUGUCAACUAUAAGUACCAAUCCACCGUCGUCGUCGACAUGCCAGUUGUGGCUUCAUUGUUACCUUGGAGGAAUAAAACCAACGAACCUGAAGAUCUCACCCGCCAUUGUGAAUUGUGAGGCACCUGUAAAUACAAGUUGGGAGCUUAAUUAGGGUGGUAAGGGAGUCAGUAGCGUGCAUCCAGGGGGCUUUGAGGCUCAUUAUGAGAUGAUGAGAUGUGUUGUUCCCCCUGUUUAAAUUUUGUCUGUAAAAGAAACCAUUCUCUGGUUAUUGUGUUAUUGAGUUGUCUCAUGUGAUGAGCCACCGCCUCGUUGAUCACUGAUAAGAUGAGAUGUGUUCCUCCCCCCUGUUUAAGUCUUGUUAUUUUUUAUCAUUUGUUUAAUUGAUAUGUUUAAGCCUUGUUAUCUACUAUCAUCCUCUACUUGGAAUACAACAAGAAACUACUCCCUCUGCCUUAAAAAUAAGUGUUGUGGUUUUAGUACAAUAAUGCUGUAUGAAAAAAACAAGUAAGUAAAAUUAACGUGAACUAUAAUGCAGUAUAAAAAACAAGCAAGUAAAAUUAAGGGAAACUAUAAUGCAGUAUUCAAACAAAAAGCAAGCACAAAUAAAAUUACGGAAACUACUCCCUUAAUUUUGGCAAGUAUAAUGUAGUAUCAAACAAAACAAGCAAGUAAAAUUAAUGGAAACUAUAGUGCAGUAUCAAACAAAACAAGCAGGUAAAUUCAACAAAAAUCAGAGUGAUGGACGUGGCCAUGAUUUGACAUGAGUGCUAAACAAAUUUGUUCAAUCACAAACAUUGCAUAUUUGCCAACAAUUUUCGUGCGUAGUUUUCAAAACUAGCCUGGACAAAAAAGUUGAAACUAGUGUGGACAAAAAGGACGGCUAUUCCAAGUCCGAAGGAAAAGAAGCUUCAAGAUAACUUUAAGAUGCAUCCGCACGUGCAUUUAGGUUGUCGUCGACAAUGACGGCGCAGGGAAGAAGACGGCGGUACCUGGUCAACUGGACAUAAAAAAAUAGUAGUGUGACAAUUAUGAGAUUUGCUUUUUGAAAGAAUGCAAGGGUUUUAUUGGGGCGCGCAUGCGCGGCGAACUUUUCCCGGAGUAGCGUGGCAAGCGGCCGGGGUGGAUGUGGCAGCUUUUACUGCGUUUAGGGCAGGGGAUGGGGCAUGCGAGGCAGCUUUUACAAAUUAUCAUGAUAAUAUAGUUUCUUUCUUUCAGGUAUUUUUUGGUUUUGUGUGCAAAAACGACCAUCCAACGGAUGAAGUUUCAUCCGAUUCAUAUGUGGUUCUUUGGAAUUUGUUCCUCAGAUAGACAUACACAAAGGAAUCGGAAGUUACUCAGGCCUCCUUCAAUUUGAAGGAUUUUCACAGAAAAAAUAUAGGAAUAAGGAUUUCGGUGAAAAAAUUUCUAUAAAUGCAUUUGGUUUGUAAAAAGGGCAUACAAGAAUAUCGUAAGAAUACCACUCAUUUUCUGUGUUUUUCUUCAGAAAACUAGACAUCCACUCAAAACUUAUUUUACGUGUAGGAACGAAGCAAGUCAAUUUCUGUUGCCAUCCUAAUUCUUACGUUUUUAGUUUACUCCAAAGCGAAUGAGCCCUCAAACAUAACCGCGAAGGAAUUGGAGCGUGCGGAGGAUGAGACGAGGAGGCCAUUCCAUGUUCUCAUCCUGGCCCCAUCGGGCGGCCGAUCGAUCCGUGUCCGGAGCGGUGCAACCAGGACGAGGAAGGAGUCAACCAACUGAGCUAGCUAGCCAGGGUCGGCUUGCAGGCUUGAUUGCCGAUUAAGGCAGGCAGCUAUAGCCAGCCUGGGUCAACCAUACCAUAUAGCUUGGCGUCAUCAUUGACGGACGGAAGAAGAAGAGCACGAGGGAAAAGGAUCAGAUGGGAUGUGCGCGACGCAACCACCGAGACCGAACCACCGCCGGUCGAUGGGAAGAAAAAGGAAAGGCGGUGCGCCACUCCACGUCUCCACCACCCUAAACCUGCUCAACCCCAACGAAGAUGCACGCAAGGAAGGAAAGCAUAUCGCUCGUCAGCUUGGGCGUCAGCGGGAGCGGCGCGCGCACGUAGAGCAGGCAACGGCAGCCGCGAUUAAACAACACUGACUAUAAUUUGACUAUUCCGGCCAACGUUGACGGCGGCGAGCGGAGCGGAUUCGGCCGUCCCCGUCGUCCAGGCAUCGAUCGUCGUCUGGCGGACGCAGCGCGUGUCGCGGGUGACGCGCGCGAGCCAAGGAGACGAGCAGAGGCGGAGGGACACGUAGAGCGGGCGGAGUCGGCCCGCGUGUUUUAUGCGACACGUUCGACACGACACGACACGACACGUUAUGCGACACGUUGUGAUCGAUCCGCCUGCUUGUGCUUAGCUGCCUGCUUGUGGUAGUAAUUCGUUUUGGCGACGACACGACGUUUGCUUCCUGCUCACUCCAGAGCCAGACUACGUGCCAGAGCCAGUCCCCCUGUGCGGAAGUGCACGACAGCUCGCGCCAGUCCCCCUGUCCGGGCGCGGUUUCUCGAGGCACCACAAACACACAUGCUCCUCUGCUCGACGCACUUGCUUACCAUUCAACCAAGUGUGUCAAAGAGCGAAUUGUCGUUGGAUGUUUAGAGGGACUAUGAUACCUCAGUCCAUCAGGAAUCAAAUUCUAGUGCUCGCAUUUAUUUUUGAAUUUAUUUCAAAAUUUUUGGAAAUACACAUUCAAUGGGAUGAGACGUUCUUGAAAUACCGGCUCAGUCUUUCGGAGAUGCUCAUAGGAAUAGGGUGCGUGUGUGCGUUCGAAGGGGUGUGUGUAUGCGCGUGUAUAUGAGCGCGUACGUCUGUAUUGUGUUAAAAAAUAGUAUAAAAAAACGUCUUACAUUAUGGGACAGAGGGAGCAUAUUUUUUUUUUACUUUCGCACAACUUCACCUUGUCAUGCAAAAAACACAAGCAAAUGAAUAGAAAAAUAUACAUUUUGACAUUUUGAGAAACCCCUGAGAAAACGCAAGGACAUUAUGCUUUCGAAAACAGAAAAAAAAAUUCAUAAAAGCAAAUCUUCUAAAGACAUCCCAAAACCAAUGGAAUGUAGGAAAUAAAUUGAGUAAAACAUUCUAAAGUGUAAAAGUAGAGAAUGCAUUCAACCAUAGUUCAAAAAUCGGACUAGAAAAAACCGGAACCAAAGAUCCUAUCGGAUUUUUAAGCCUAGCAGACCGUUCGAGCAAUCGAACCAAAAAAAACGAACAAACCAGGCUGCCACAUGUGCAUCAACUUGUUUUUGUCCACAAAUGUUGGGGGUAGAAUGGAAAAAAGAAAAAAAACCUCUUUUGCUAGGGUUUUGGCUUAAUCGGGAGGGUUUCCCUCGAUUUUGUGCAUAGGCAAACCAACCGCCACCUUGCUGGCUCCUUUGCAUGGAUACUUGGAUCCGUAUCAGAUACGUGAUAUGGGGAUACGACCGAUACGCCAAUUUUUUAAAAACAUGGAUACGGCGAUACAUCUAUACAUAGGUAUUACAUAUAUUAAUUAUUAAAAAUAUUGAAAACAAAAUAGAGCUUCAGGUCAAAGCAUGCCUCAAUAGGAUUAUUCCCUUUGUUUUCUUGCACUUGGUCCAUUUUCAUUAAUUGGCAGUGGGAUUUUCCCGGGUUUGUUGUUCCAAUCAGUGCAUCGACUCUCUCUUGCUCACCUUUCAGUUGAACAAGAACAUUGACAGUCAUGCUUUGGCAUGAACUCAUGCCCAUGUUGUGUAUCUUCAAAAGGUGUGCCUUUACUAUUGAAGGGAUUUCAUGUCGAACGAGGGGUUUCAGGUAUCCAAAAAGUAUCGCAGAAGUAUCAUAGGAGUAUCAAACAUUAUUAUUUUUAAAAUCAAAAAAUUGAGGGAUACUUACGGGAUACAUAUCGGGCCGUAUCGGGGCAGUAUCCGAGUAUCGGGGUAGUAUCCGGCUGGAUACACGCGCUUUCUGAAGUAUCCGGUCAACGUAGUCUGGCUCUGGCCUGGCGCCGUGGCCGCCACCCUUGCUUGACAAUGUGGCGCGCAGACGCCGCCUCUCCCUCUCGUCACUCCGUGUCGCGGCAGCACCAACACUAGCCACCAGGCGCCCCGCCACUCCCACCUCUGUUCUGCUUCUUGUUGAUGGCCAAGGAGAGGGAAGGGAACGCCGCCGCCUGAUAUCCCGUCGUCCACUUCCUCCGGUUGCCUCCCUUCAUGGCCUCACCUCCGGACCCCCCCUCCAGUUUGGCCUCUGCUCGGCUGCUCGAACUCACCAGGACGCCCCAACAGUCAACUUUGAUAUGAACAAUCCCUAUUCUCUUCUCCGUUCCCAAUCUCCAUCCUUCUAUUCUUCAUUUCUAGGAUCCUAGCAUGAGAUUGCAUAUUGGUUUGCAAUUUGUUUGCUGUCAUGCAAUGGUCAUGAUACAGUGGGAUUGUAUAUUUGUUUGCUGAUGAAAAUUGUAUUGUAUAUUGUUUGCUGUCAUGAUAUUGUUUGUUGUCAACUGUCAUGAUAUUUGAUGGUUGUCAUGAUAGAUGAUACAGUGGCAUUGUNNNNNNNNNNNNNNNNNNNNNNNNNNNNNNNNNNNNNNNNNNNNNNNNNNNNNNNNNNNNNNNNNNNNNNNNNNNNNNNNNNNNNNNNNNNNNNNNNNNNNNNNNNNNNNNNNNNNNNNNNNNNNNNNNNNNNNNNNNNNNNNNNNNNNNNNNNNNNNNNNNNNNNNNNNNNNNNNNNNNNNNNNNNNNNNNNNNNNNNNNNNNNNNNNNNNNNNNNNNNNNNNNNNNNNNNNNNNNNNNNNNNNNNNNNNNNNNNNNNNNNNNNNNNNNNNNNNNNNNNNNNNNNNNNNNNCUGAAUAUAUUGCUCAAACAGCUGCAAACGCAGCGAGUACAGAAUUACAGAGGCACGGUGCAACUUGCAGAGAGGUAGGAACGCCACGAGAAGACGUCCUCCUUGUCACCCGUAUCGAUGAGACGGUGUGACCAAAGAUCUAGGUCAGAGAUAAGGUUUCUAAUUGUUAUUACAGAACAUUGAUCGAUACUUCUAAACAACAUGUCAUUACGUGCUGCCCAAAUCUUCCGUAGUAGAGCAAGGAGAACGAAUGGCCAGGCCUUCAUGGGUAGGUGUUGAGGUAGCGGGGUGUCCCAUAGCUCAUUUAGGUCGUUGGUUACGGGCAGGAAGCCUACUCGUUGCGAUAUCCUAUUUGCAAGAGGACAUGUGAUGAAGAGAUGAGUAGAGUCUUCGGAUGACGUAGCACAUCGUGGGCAUAAAUUGGAGGAGAUUAUAUGCUUAUGAGCGAGGCUCACUCUAGUGUUGAGGCGAUAUUUGAAAAGAAGCCAAGAAAAAAUCUUGACUUUGCGAGGAGCUUUGGUGCCCCAGAUGAGAGGGGCCAUGAGAUCUGUGUCUGGCUUGGUCAUGAGUGAGCCGUAUGCUUGCUUGGUGGAGAAGUCAUGUCCCUGGAAUAGGAAAUGUUGAUCUUCCUUAGUCGACGGCGUGUAGUCCUGCAAAAGAGCCAAAAGCGAAGCAAGCUCUCGUUCUGCUAUAAGAGAGAGACAAUUACGGAGGUUGGUUUCGAUACCGAAGCAUAAAAUGUUGGCUCCUUUAACUAGUGGUAGGGUAGAGUGCGAGAAGAGGUACGGGAAGGUGGUAGCUAGGGUUUUUGGUGUGAGCCAGGUAUCCAUCCAGUAGUAUGUGUGUGUGCCACUGUUGGUGAGUACAAAGGAGAUUGACUGGAGUGUUGGGAUUUGUUGGGUUAUCGUGCGACACAAGAAGGAGGUUUGGGGGGCUGAGGAGACUAGGGCGUUUGGGUGUUGUAGGUCUAGCCAAUCUAGCCAAGGUUUCCCUCAAAUGGCGAGAGCAGCGUCAGCCGCUAGGCUUUCAUCCGUGUGAAGGGUAGCAAUGGUGGUUUUGGAGAAGUUGAUGGUGAGGCCGGUAGCUUGUGCAAAGCUAUUAAGGAUUUUUUUGAGGGUUGUGGCUGCCGGGGGCGAGGAGGCUGCGAUCAUAAGCGUAUCAUCGGCGUAUUGGAGAAUGGUGGGGGGCAGGUGGGUGAAGAUGGGGUGGUGGAGGAGAGUGGGCUCGGUGUUUUGGAUGAUGAGUUGCUAAAGUAGGUCGGCGACGAUGAGUUACAGGUAGGGAGAGGCUGGCUCGCCCUGUCGUAGGCCUUUUUUGCAUUGUAUCCAGUUGCCAGGAAUGCCAUUUAGGAGGAUAGCAGUUUUACCCACGUGGAGGAUGUUUUGGAUCCAGGAGCGAAAAGUUUGGGAGAAACCGCCGACAUCCAAGAUUCUGUCAAGGGCUAGCCAUGCGACAGAAUCAAAUGCUUUCCUGAAAUCGAGUUUGAAAACCAUGGUUGGCCUUUUGCGGGAGUGGCAAGAGCUGAUUAGGUGAGCCGCAUAGAUGUAGUUUUCGGCAAUAUUCCUUCCGGUGAUGAACCCUAUUUGAUUACCAUGAACCAAGCUAGGGAUGAGAGGUUUGAGGCGCGAGGUGGUGGCUUUAGCAAAAGCUUUUAUGGGGCAGUUUUGUAGGGAGAUUGGUCUGAAGGCGUCGGGGGAGGAGGGGGGUGUGUUCUUUGGGAGGAGGACGAUGUGGGCAUGAUUUAAACGUUCUGUGUCUGCUACGCCUUGGUGAAGUUGUUGGAAGAAGGGGAGAAUGGCGUGUCCUAUAGUGGGACAAAAGGAUCUAUAAAAGGAGGGGCCGAAACCAUCUGGUCCAGGGCUAGCUUGGGGGUUCAUUUGGAGGAAGGCCAACUUAAUUUCGUCUUCAGAGAAAGGUACGUCAAGGGCAUGUAGACCAGGCACGGGGUGAGGGUAAAUGGAAUUGAGGUCAAAAGCCCAGGUCGUCGUGGCAGGGGAUCCUAUGAGUGAGAUGAAAAAAUCCUGUAGGAUUUCUGCUUUGUGGGGAUGAGAGGUGAAUAACGUGCCGUCGCCUGUGAGGGAGAAAAUAUUGUUUUUUCUAAGGCGUUGUGAGGCAGACAUGUGGAAGAAUUUUGAGUUCUCACCUCCGUGGAUUGCUCGAGAAACUUUGGCACGCCAUUUCCAGUAGGCCAUUUUUCUUGGAUAUUGCAUUUGAGGAGGGACACGAUGAUUUUAUGAGUGAGUAGUUCGGGCGGAGAGAGAGGCCUGGAUUCUUCUGCACGAUCGAGGGCGGCGAUAGCGGUUUUACAUCGAGAUUCGCGGAGGGGGGCGGGAAUACGAGAGCGAGACCAUUUUUUGAGUCCGGCCCGAGUCUUUUUGAGCAAGUAAGUGAGGGUGGCGGCAGAGUUGGCGUUCAUGGAGGGCCAUGAAGGGGCCCAAACGGCGUUGAUAAUGUCACUGCAAGGCCGUAAAUUGGCCCAGCCAGGCUCAAAUUUGAAAAAAUUGGAUCACAGGAUCGUUGUCGUGACGUGAAUGAGGAGGGGUACGUGGUCGUAUGUGAAUCGCGUGAGGGAGGAGAGGGAAGAGUUUGGAAAGGCGUCUGACCAGGCUAAGUUAAAAAAGGCACGGUCGAUAUGUUCUAGGGUGGGUGUUGUUCUAUUAUUGGACCAAGUGUAUUGGCGGUCAAGAAGUGGUAGUUCAAUGAGGGUGAGUUCAUCAAGAGUUCGGUUAAAAGCAGUGGCUUCGGAUUGUCUAAACGCGUCAUUAUUUUUGUCGGAGGGGUACCGGAGGAGGUUGAAAUCUCCCACAAGUAGCCAGGGUGAGUCGUCUGGUUGUGAGAUAGCGAGCAACUCAUCGAGGAAAGAUUGCUUGAGGGCGCGGGAGGAGGGGGCAUAGAUGUUGGUGAUGGCUAUGUUGCGGUCACUUGCAUUGGAUCGCAAAAUCAAUGUUGACGAGAAGGUGAGGUGGUUGAAGGAGAUUACUUGGAAAGAGGCAGUAUUGACAGCGGAGAUGUUGCCACCCGCUGUUUCAACGGCGGGUAGGUGAAAAACUUGGUCGAGCUGCGUAGGCAUAAAGGAUCGUAGCUUUUGGUCCGAGAACGCAUCGAGUUUUGACUCUUGUAAUAGUGCAAUGUGGGGGUUGAUCGAGAUGAGUUCGGCGAGGAUGUCAGCACAUUUGGCAUCGUCGCCCAGACCACGCACAUUCCAUGAGUAGAUAGAGAAAGUGGCGUUACUCAUGUAGACGGAGCAUACACCAGAGGUUUAAGAUAGCAGUACAGGUACAUGAUAGUAGCAAAAGGUACAACAUCACGCUACUACGGAACUGGGUUGAUCUACCGAGGAGCAGGGCCCUAAAGUACAGAGGAACACGUAGGACGAGCAUGAAAAUGACAAAUGGCGGUGGCAUUGUGAUCCACCCCGACACGCAUGGCAGAGAUGGCGAGCUGAUCAUGGUGCGUUGUCAUCACCGGAGGCCGAGCCCUCAGCCUCAAGGAUCGCGUUUACAUGGUCGUCGUCCGCACUGCAGAGUAGUGCAAUGGUGGCCAGAUCUUCAGCGGAAGCGGGAGGAGCAUCAGAGACAUCUAGGUGUGCGUCGUGGAUGGCGCGAUCGAUGGCCGAGCCCACGUCUGCAGCGAAGAGGCGGGCGGUCUUGGCCUUGACAGCCUUGGCGAGCAUGGGGGAGUACUUGGCCUCCUUGCCAGCAAGCCGCGCGCUGCGAUGCAGCUUGUUUUUGGAGCAGGAUUGAUCACGGGCUGUCUUGUGGCGCUCCUUUGUAUGGUGCACUCGUGGGUGUCGAGGUCGUGGAGAGGGAGGUCUGCAUCCGUGGCGACAUGGGUCAGCACAGUGGUGGCAUUAACUAAAGUAAUGGAUUGAUUAGGAGACGGAGAGAUUGGGGUUUCAUCAGUUGCACGUGAUGAUUCACCAGCCGUGAAGGUGAAGGCGGGGGGAUCUGCAAUGGCAGGAGUCGGAGGCACGAACGCAGUAAAGGCAGAAGCGUCAGAGGGGACCAAGGGCCUGAUAGGCGGGGCGGCGUCCGCUGGGCGUGCAGGCGGAGAAGGUGGGAGCAUGGUCCCAACGAGUGGAGUCGGGCGGAUGACAGGUGGGCCCGUACAGCCGCCCGUGGGUGCAUGCACCACGUCUAGCGACUCCGUUAGAAUGCCAUGCAGGAGCGGCGCGUGCAUGUCUUUGGAGUCCAUCGAGUUGUCAUCAGAUAUGAUGAGUGGCUGGCGUAUGGAACCAGGUGGAAGAAAAGGGGAGGACAGUGCAGAGCCACUAGUGUCGUGACCAGGAAAGGCAGGAGUCGCACAUGUGCUAGUGCUGCCAUGUGGGGCAAUCGGGCGUGUACCACCGUACGUGGGGUCUGUGCGCCAAGCAGCAUGAAAAGCGGAGACGACUGGUGCAAUGUGAUCAGGUGAGAUGGGUCGUGGCGAGCCACGUUGAGAGAGAGGCGCAGAAUCUCCGUCAGAAGAGUUCGUGCCGAAGGGAUUGGCCCCGUCUCCGUGGUGCCAGCGAGAGACUUCUACCACCUUGGCUAUCUUGAUCUCAUUGAUAGGUGGGAGCUGGAUGACGAUGCCAGGGGGUGCUGGUUUGCUUGAUUGCAGCAGAACCAGAGCGCGGACAAAGGUAUAGUCUAUGCCAUGUAGGUAGAAAUCAUCCACAGCACACACGUCGCCAAGGAAGGCCAGGGCGAAACGGAUGCCGUCGUUGUGCCAAAGUUCAUGUGGAAAUUUGGAAACAUCGAUCUCUGCGAGGUCUGUGAAGAUGGCAAUGGAGCGGUCGACGUGCUCGACUGGCUCGAUGGUGAUGGUGUUGCCUUCGAAGUCUAUGGGGCUGUGACGAAUAACGUCAUUGCGGGCAGCUGGAGUGUGGAACGUGAGGCAUGCCACCCCACGUCAGGAGCCGCCCAUGAUGAAGGCAGGGUUUCUGCACGUGUGCUGGAUGGCGCGGCGGAUGAUGGGAGUGGGGUUGGGGUCGGGGGUUUGGAGGUCAGUGUAGGCGAAGCGGCACGGGCAGUGGACUAGGUAGGAAGGGGCUGCGACAAGCGGCAUAUCCAUGUAGGGAGGCAGCGGUCCAGCCUCGUGGACUGGGCGUGGCAGCUCGUCGUCGGAGUCGGAUUCGGAGACAUGCGACGUGGUUCUUGUGUUUUGAGAGGCGAGGCAGAUGUCAGAGAGACGGGCUCGUAGUUCGUGGGUGUCGAAGGGUGAAGUGUGUGAGUGCAUCUUGUUGUGGGGGGAGAGGUGGGUGAUGGCGGAGGGGCUGAGGUGCGUGGUGGAGAUGAUAGAGGCCAGAGACGGAGGUACCUGCAGUCGUGGCUGCGGUGGCCGCACCGCCAGCAACGAGCGCAGCGGACGGGGUCGCGGCAGGCCUCCUCGUAGUGAUCUAGGGCUAGGCAGCGGAAGCAGCGGCGUCGCUUUUUGGUGGCUGGAGGUGGAGGGGGAUGAAGAUGAGGGAGGCAGAGAAGGCGUCGGGGUAUAUAUGGUGGGCGGGGCAGCAGGUCACUGUGUCCGCAGGGAGGGGAGAGGAGUGUGUCUCGAUAUAAGCGCGUCGUGAUGCUGUUGGCCCAAGAGGGCAGCGGAUCUAGCAUCAGAACGGCGUGAUCUGUUGCGUGUGGCAGCGUUUGAAGCGACGGAGAGGUUAGGCGUGGUGAUCGAGUGGCCGGAUUAGGCUGUAGAGUAAUUUUAGGGACGAUGAUUAGCUCUAGAUGUUGGUCAGGAGUAGGAGGGGGUGCGGCAGUGGCGAGGGAUGAUAACCCACAAGUAUAGGGGAUCACAACAGUUUUCGAGGGUAGAGUAUUCAACCCAAAUUUAUUGAUUCGACACAAGGGGAGCCAAAGAAUAUUCUCAAGUAUUAGCAGCUGAGUUGUCAAUUCAAACACACCUGGAAACUUAGUAUCUGAAGCAAAGUGUUUAGUAGCAAAGUAAUAUGAUAGUGGUGGUAACGGUAACAAAAGUAAAGACAUCAAAAGUAAUGUUUUUGGUAUUUUGUAGUGAUUGUAACAGUAGCAACAGAAAAGUAAAUAAGCGAGAACCAGUAUAUGGAAAACUCGUAGGCACCGGAUCAGUGAUGGAUAAUUAUGCCGGAUGUGGUUCGUCAUGUAAUAGUUAUAACAUAGGGUGACACAGAACUAGCUCCAGUUCAUCAAUCUAAUGUAGGCAUGUAUUCCGAAUAUAGUCAUACGUGCUUAUGGAAAGAACUUGCAUGACAUCUUUUGUCCUACCCUCUCGUGGCAGCGGGGUCCUAUUGAAAACUAAGGGAUAUUAAGGCAUCAUUUUAAUAGAGAACCGGAACAAAGCAUUAGCACAUAGUGAAUACAUGAACUCCUCAAACUAUGGUCAUCACCGGGAGUGGUGGUUCCGAUUAUUGUCACUUCGGGGUUGCCGGAUCAUAACACAUAGUAGGUGACUAUAGACUUGCAAGAUAGGAUCAAGAACUCACAUAUAUUCAUGAAAACAUAAUAGGUUCAGAUCUGAAAUCAUGGCACUCGGGCCCUAGUGACAAGCAUUAAGCAUAGCAAAGUCAUAGCAACAUCAAUCUCAGAACAUAGUGGAUACUAGGGAUCAAACCCUAACAAAACUAACUCGAUUACAUGAUAAAUCUCAUCCAACCCAUCACCGUCCAGCAAGCCUACGAUCGAAUUACUCACGCACGGCGGUGAGCAUCAUGAAAUUGGUGAUGAAGGACGGUUGAUGAUGACGACGGCGACGAAUCCCCCUCUCCGGAGCCCCGAGCGGACUCCAGAUGAGCCCUCCCGAGAGAGAUUAGGGCUUGGCGGCGGCUCCGUAUCGUAAAACGCGAUGAUUUCUUCUCUCUGAUUUUUUUCUCCUCGAAAGCUAAUAUAUGGAGUUGGAGUUGGCGUCGGAGGGCCACCAGGGGGCCCACGAGGUAGGGGGCGCGCCCUAGGGGGGCACCCUCGUGGACAGGGUGUGGGCCCCCUGGUCUUCAUCUUUGGCAAGGAUUUUUUAUUAUUUAUUCUAAGAUAUUCCGUGGAGUUUCAGGUCAUUUCGAGAACUUUUAUUUUCUGCACAUAAAACAACAUCAUGGCAAUUCUGUUGAAAACAGCGUCAGUCCGGUUAGUUCCAUUCAAAUCAUACAAGUUAGAGUCCAAAACAAGGGCAAAAGUGUUUGGAAAAGUAGAUACGACGGAGACGUAUCAACUCCCCCAAGCUUAAACCCUUGCUUGUCCUCAAGCAAUUCAGUUGACAAACUGAAAGAGAAAAAGAAAAACUUUUACAAACUCUGUUUUCUCUUGUUGUUGUAACAUGAAAAGCCAACAUUCAAGUUUCAGCAAAUAUUAUGAACUAACCAUACUAACAAUAACACAAAGGUCUCACAAUUACUCAUAUCAAUAGCAUAAUCAGCUAGCGAGCUAUAAUAACAAAACUCGGAUGACAACACUUUCUCAAAAUAAUCAUAACAUGAUAUAACAAAAUGGUAUCUCGCUUGCCCUUUCUGAGACCGCAAAACAUAAAUGCGGAGCACCUUUAAAGAUCAAGGACUGACUAAACAUUGUAAUUCAUGGUAAAAGAGAUCCAGUCAAGUCAUACCCAAUAUAAACCAGUUAUAAUGAAUGCAAACGACAGUGUGCUCUCCAGCGGGUGCUUUUUAAUAAGAAGGAUGAUGACUCAACAUAAAAGUAAAUAGAUAGGCCCUUCGCAGAGGGAAGCAUGGAUUUGUAGAGGUGCCGGAGCUCGGUGAGGGAGUUCCGGACUAGGGGGUGUCCGGAUAGCCGAACUAUCAUCAUCGGCCGGACUCCAAGACUAUGAAGAUACAAGAUUGAAGACUUCGUCCCGUGUCCGAAUGGGACUUUCCUUGGCGUGGAAGGCAAGCUUGGCGAUACGGAUAUGUAGAUCUCCUACUGUAACGCCCCGAGACCGAUGCUCCAGUAGACUUCCAGCUAUUCCGAGUUUCGUCGUGUGAUUUGUUUUAUUUGUUGCAUUCAUCCUUGCAUCAUGUGCAUUGCAUCAUGUCAUCAUGCCAUCGUAUCAUUAAUUUUUAAAACCUCAACUAAAUAAAUUGUAUGGAUUUUUCGAUCCAUUUAAAUCGAGGGAAUUCACAUGGUGAUUCUCUUUAAAACACAUCCUCUCGAUAUUUAGAGAGCUAUAGUAAAUAUUUCAUUUCGGGAAAUCACCCAUAACACAUUUGCAUUAUUCUUCUACUCUUCUUUUAUCCGACUCAACCUCCUAUCCUGCUUUUUCGAUCUUUUAGUAAAAUUGAGUUGCAAAUUUUACUUCUCCAUUAAUGUUCCAAAUCUGCCCAUAAAUCACAUCUGGUGCGUAGGGUCACCUCCUAUAGUUUCAACCCAUUUGGAGCUCAUUUGAAUGGGUUUCAAAUUCAAACUUGCUGAGUUAAAUCCAAUGCGUGUGGAUUUUACUUCCCUAAAAAAAAUCCUCUUCCCAUUUUAUUUAAAUUCCUCAUAUUUUUAUGAGACUGUGAAAACUAUCCCCAUGCCCAGAUUCCACCCCUACCUUCUCUUUCUCUUCUUUCUCUUUUUCUGUUUUGUUGGUAAAUGGAAAAAAGAAUAGGAGAGAGAGAAGAGAAGCCCAGCUGGCCCAUUUGCCUGGAGGUCCAGCCCACCUAACCCCUUCCUAACCCUAGCCUCGAAGGCCAGCCCAGCCUCUCUCCCUCGACUCCCUCCAGCGCCGCUGCAAUGCUCGAUCCCAUCUCCUUCCUCUCGCUCGAAGCCCCUCCUCUCGAUCCCUUUUCCCCUUCGUUCUCCUCCUGGCGCCGCCACUCACAGGGAGAGAGAGGAGCAGAGCCCUCGCGCCGCCCCUCCCCUAUGCUUCUCCCGCAUCGAGCGCGCGUCCCCGCCGGCUCCCGUCGCCCCUGCCUCGACGCCUGCUUCGCCUCCUUUGCCCUAUCGCGUCGUUCCUCAAGCUCCCGCGCCCUGUUUCUCCUCCCGCGCCGACGCCCUCCUUCGGCUGCUCGCGCCUGCAGCUCCGUCCGCGAGCUCGUGCAGCUAUGGCCGCCACAGGAGCCUCGCGCCCGACCCCCUCGCUGAGGCCAUGGAUGUCCGCGGCCCCGCCUUCCUGCACCUCCACACGCCGCCCGCACACGCCACCAACCGCUGCUCCGCCUCCAUCGAGCUUCAUCCCCUGCUGUCACUGGAUCGCCAAGAUGCAACCCCGACCACGUCGGCCCCUUCCUCGUACAACGCUCAAGCCUUCAUGCCCGAGGCCUUCGUCAUCUCUCUGUGUUGCGCUGCGUGCGACCCUGUCAGCCACAUGGUCGCCACCUCUGCAGUCUCCUACUGUUGUUUCGUGCACCUUCGCUGCCGGUUGGCGUUGACGCAAGACCAACGGCUUCAUCGUCGUUCGCCUACAUGCCCGAACCUCGAAGAUCCCGUGGAACGCCAAGUACCACUAUCCAUCUCCGAGGAUUUCUCCAAGUACCGCACCGGACACCAAGUUCAUCUACGAAAAACGUGUACAACUACCGUCGCCGUGUACAACUACUUCCACUACCGUCGCCCCGAAGGCGUUGGAUUCUUCAAGUACCUCUCCGAAAACGAACAUGUACCACUACUUCAACUACUUCCACUACGACCGUUGCGAGAACGUCUACUUCCUCUUCAUUGCACCGAACUCGUUCCGCCCCGAAAAUACACGCUUCAAAGGUAUAACCAACGAGACGAUCACCCGUGGACCGAGUGUGUGUGUUGUAUGAGAUGCCCGUGCUUGCGCCGUGUCCAAAUUGUCGCUUGCGCAUUCCUUCUCGUUUGCCAUGCCACCGACACGUGGGAACCCGGUAUCUGGGAUCACCCCACCAUCUUCUGUAUGUUUCGCACAUCCGCACACUUGCUCUUUUGCACCGGUAUCUCAAUGAGUUAUCGGAUCAUCAGAAUGUUGUCGUGGCACCAUUUUCGUUAUCGUUGCCGUGGCACCAUUUUCGUUAUCGUUGCCGUGGCACCCUUUCUUUCCGCCACGGUGACAAAUGCUUCAUAACAUGCUCAUGUCAACAUUUUCAUAAAAUUGCAUAAAACUUGUAUAUGUCAUCCGCAUCAUGAUAACAACAUUUAAAAUGUUUAAACUUGUUGUUGCAUUAAAUUGCUAAAUGCAUAUGGGGAUUUACCGGAUUUGUUGUUUUUAUAUCCGGCCCCAUUUAAAUUGUUUAGAUGGUAUAGUUUAUAUUAUGCUUCACCUCUUGCCAUGUUUAACAACAGUUAAUAUUGUUGGGUAGCUUAAAUGAGAGAUAACUAAAUAAUUGAUGUGGUGUUCCGUCAACAUGCACCUCGUUGCAUAUUGAGCUCCACUUAACUUGUAGUAUUGUUUGUUGCACUUUGCCAUGCCAUGCCUCAUUAAACCGGACAUGCAUCAUACUUGUUUGCGCAUCAUGCCAUGUUUAUGUGAUGUUUGUUUACUAUGUUGUUUGUUUCUUUCCGGGUUGCUUCUCUCGUUAGCUUCGGUUUCGUUCCGGAGUUGUGAGGAUUUGUUCGUCUACGACCGUUUGUCUUCUUCUUGGAUUCGUUCUUCUUCCUUGCGGGAUCUCAGGCAAGAUGAUCAUACCCUCGAAAUCACUACUAUCUUUGCUAUGCUAGUUUGCUCGCUCUUUUGCUAUGCCAAUGCUACGAUGCCUACCAUUUGCUUGUCAGCCUCCCAAAUUGCCAUGGCAAACCUCUAACCCACCAUGUCCUAGCAAACCGUUGAUUGGCUAUGUUACCGCUUUGCUUAGCCCCUCUUAUAGCGUUGUUAGUUGCAGGUGAAGAUUGAAGUUUGUUCCUUGUUGGAACAUGGAGAUGUUGUUCCUUGUUGGAACAUGUUUACUUGUUGGGAUAUCACAAUAUAUCUUAUUUAAUUAAUGCAUCUAUAUACUUGGUAAAGGGUGGAAGGCUCGGCCUUAUGCCUGGUGUUUUGUUCCACUCUUGCCACCCUAGUUUCCGUCAUAUCGGUGUUAUGUUCCCGGAUUUUGCGUUCCUUACGCGGUUGGGCUAUAAUGGGAACCCCUUGACAGUUCGCCUUAAGUAAAGCUUCUCCAGCAAUGCCCAACAUUGGUUUUACCAUUUGCCACCUAGCCUUUUCUUUCCCUUGGGUUCUGCAGACUCAAGGGUCAUCAUUUUUUANNNNNNNNNNGUGCUCCUCUGAGUGUUGGUCCGAACUAGAGUCCUGUGCAGCGCCCCCUCGGGGAAACUCGAGGUUUGGUUUUAGUUGUAUGGAGCGCUCAUCUGAGUGUGCCCUGAGAAAGAGAUAUGUGCAGCUCCUAUCGGGAUUUGUCGGCACAUUCGGGCGGUGUUGCUGGUUUAGUUUUACCCUGUCGAAAUGUCUUGUUGUACUGGGAUACCGAGUCUGAUCGGAAUGUCUCGGGUGGAGGUCUAUUCCUUCGUUGACCGUGAGAGCUUGUGAUGGGCUAAGUUGGGACACCCCUGCAGGGAUUUGAACUUUCGAAAGCCGUGCCCGCGGUUAUGGGCAGAUGGGAAUUUGUUAACGUCCGGUUGUAGAAAACCCGAAGUUGACCUUAAUUAAAAUACAUCAACCGUGUGUGUAACCGUGAUGGUCUCUUUCCGGCGGAGUCCGGGAAGUGAACACAGUGUUGGAGUUAUGCUUGACGUAGGUUGCUAUAGGAUCACUUCUUGAUCAUACUUCUAUCGACCGUGCUUUGCCUUCUCUUCUCGCUCUCAUUUGCGUAUGUUAGCCACCAUAUAUGCUAGUCGCUUGCUGCAGCUCCACCUCAUUACUCCAUCCUUCCUAUAAGCUUAAAUAGUCUUGAUCUCGCGGGUGCGAGAUUGCUGAGUCCCCGUGGCUCACAGAUACUUCCAAAACCAGUUUGCAGGUGCCUAUGUUACCGAAUAGGUGACGCAACCAAGCUCAAGGAGGAGCUCGAUGAAGAUCUUGCCCUUUGUGUUGUUUCGUUCUAGUUGAUCAGUAGUGGAGCCCAGUUGGGGUCGAUCAGGGACCUUUGUCGCAUUUGGGGUUCUUCUUUUAUUUUGGUUCCGUAGUCGGACCUUGAUUGUAUCUGGAUGAUGUAAUGCUUUAUUCAUGUAAUUGUGUGAAGUGGCGAUUGUAAGCCAACUAUGUAUCUCUUUCCCUUAUGUAUUACAUGGGUUGUGUGAAGAUUACCUCACUUGCGACAUUGCUUUCAAUGCGGUUAUGCCUCUAAGUCGUGCUUCGACACGUGGGAGAUAUAGCCGCAUCGAGGGCGUUACAAGUUGGUAAUCAGAGCCUUCCCCGACCUUAGGAGCCCCCACUGAUUGAUCGUUUUUAGCGGCCGAGUUGUGUCUAGAAAAAUGUUUUGAGUCCUUUAGGAAUUAUAUAUCGGAGAGUUUAGGAAUUCUUUUUACUCCCCAGUCCCUUCGUCGCUCUGGUGAGGCAUCAUGACGUAGAGUUUUGACUCUUCUCUUCUCAAAUUUCACUAAAAAAAAUUUUAGGAUCACGCGGGUAUCUUGGAAUCGUUCCGAUGGUUUUAUGAUGAGAACAUUGUCUUGGUGCCUCCUGUCAGGGGUUUUGUGGAAGUGUCCCGGGGAGUUGAGCUCUGAGGUGUUGUCAUCAUAAUUUUAUCGUUGCAAUUCUGGUAUACCUGAGUUUAGUACGCCGACAUCGAAAAUCUCUUUUAUGCAGUUCGUUGGUGAGAUAACCUCGACGCCACCCAGUACUGGGGCGGGAGUUCGGGAGUAUUGCCAUAACUUGUAUAACGGAUGCUUUUCGAAGGUUGAGGUAGAUGGUUUCCGAAGUUUUCUUGGUUAUGUGUUGAAGGAUGGAUACAGCUGGAUGUAGGAUUUGUUAGUUUGGGUGAGAUAUUAUGCUUCCCCUGUAUCCCCAACACCUGAUUGCAUAACCAGAAAAUUUCGGGAGUUUCAUAGGUGGGAAUUCAAGUAGCUCUUAGGAUAUCUUUCCGACAGAUGUAUGAUAUGAAAUUGGGGUUCGACGUCUAGUGGUCCGCCUAUUCACGGUUGAAUUUUACAGUGGUCUCGUUGUGUCUUAAAGAGUCCUUGGCUAUGCCGACUCGGGGACGCUUCGUAUGUCAUGUGCACUGCCUUGUACAUGAUGGUGCUGUACGAUCGAGCCCGUGUAGGCCCCGCCACGAAAACUUCGGACGAAAUCUCUAUCAUAUGUUUGUUCUGGCUUAUUUUGCAAGCCAAUCCUUUGUUUUGUUUUGAGUUGUGGUAUUCGAGUUGCUUCGAAGUCAAAUGUUGAUUCCAUACCUUUUCCAAAUGGUGUUCUCAUAUUCCUAUGUGAAUACUAAUCCUUCUUGAUCAUCGAGUCUGUCUUGUCAAUCCUUUUUUUUUAACCGGUGUGUCUCUCCUCAAGUGGAUCCGUUCACGUCAACAUUUGCAAGAUCAUUUAUCACUUCUUCUCAACGCUGUUUGUUUCAUCCGUCUCCAAGUUGCCUUUGUUUUUCCCACCCUCCCUCCCUUUUGUUUUUCUUCAAGGACUAAGAUUUCUUCUUCAAGUAUCCAUUUUAUUGAUGGGAAGUUUCUCCAUUCUUUUCCGUCAAUGUUCUUAUCCGGUGAUUCUCAUGAAGAUUCUAAUGGAGCUUCAAGUUCAUCAUUCCUCGUUCUUUUCUUCUCCGGUGGAUUUAAUUCAAGCUUUGGUAUUAAGCAUACUCCUUUUCUUUUUUUUCCAAUGCUUUUCUUAUGCCGGUGCACCUCUUAAUCAUCCAUCUCUCGCUAUUAAAUUGUUCCGGAGUGCUCAAGAUAUCUCGAAGAUUCGUGUUUCCAUUCUGCAUUCGUUCAAGCUCUUUCGAGAUUGGUAUCUCAUUCAAGUCAUUUAAUUCAACCGGUGCAACAUCUCUUUUAAAUCUUUUCAACGGUGUUCUUUUGAGUGGGCCCUAACCCACAGGUCUUUUCCCAGGAUCUUACCUGACUCUUCUAUUUUCCCAGAGCUAUCCUAAAUUCUUCUCCAAGUUUGAUGUAAGAAUGAGUUAUCAUUAGUCAAAUGCUUUUCUCCAAGAUCUUUCAAAUUCUUUUCAUAGUUGGCUCAACCUCUUCGCUUUUGAUUCUUCCGGUGUGCCUCAAUAAUUCUUGGUGGUGUUUCUCAUCGUCAUUCUCAGAUAUUGAAGACCGAUGAAGACUUUUCCUCCAUAUCUAUCCGCUCUCUCAGAGAUUCGUGAUUCUAGCUUGUUGCCAUCCUCUCAUAAUUAUUUGCGAUUGUGAGAUAUUCUUUUUAUCCAUCCGGUGCAAAUUCAGGAGUCUUUUCAGUUUGAUUCUCUGAAGGCCAUUAUUUCGGGAUUAUUCAUUCUCAGCUUUCAGUUAUCACUCUCCAAUUUUACCGGUGCAUCAAGUGAUCUCUAAUCAGCUCGUGAUCUCUGCGCUCUCAUGUAUCUAAAUCCUCUCAAGCAUCCUCGUUCAUUUCCAAAUUCUUCCGGUGAUUCGUUAUCUUUUAUUCGUUCCUUUCAAUUCUUCCUGUGGUUCGUUCAAGAGUUUUCUUCCUUUGUGUAUCAUAUCUAUGUAUUUGUUAUUUCAAUUCUACCGGUGGUUCGUUGAAGACCUUCUCAAGUUUUGAUAUAUCUCUUUUAAUCCUUUCUACGAGAAUAAGUAGUAUGCCAAAUCCGUUGAUUGUCAUCAAUUUAAUUGGUGAAGGAUAAGCAUAACAUAAUUCUUAUUCUUGUUCAUCCAAGUGAUUAAUUCUUUAUUCCGGAGGCCCUUCAAAUUCUCGGUUUCAUUUGUUUCAUCUUCUCUUUUCCCCGGAAUUCCAAGCUCUAAUUAUCACGGAGAUUCAUUUAAAUCAUUGUAAGUCUUCACCUUGUGUUUCCAUCUUCUCUUGCCUUCCGUUUGAGCAUUCUUUUGUUUAACGGAGUUCUUCGGGAAGGUUCUACAUGUUGGUUCAUAAAGGAUUUAAUUUCUUCUUGAAGUGUUCAUCAAGAUUCUUUUCUAAGAAACUCAAGCUUUCUUCAUAUGGUAAUCCUGAGUGCAAUUCUUUCUACCAUAUUUUGGAGGUGGUAUUAUGUCAUUCUUGAUAAUUUGAGUUCAUGUUCCAUGAUUCACAUGUUGUUAAGAAUGAGUUAUUUUUAAAUCCAUCAACCUCGUUGUUGGAGUUAUCUUGUGUCAUAUUUCACCUAAAAGCCUUCCAUUGGAAUGUUGCUAUUUGUGGUGCUUGCCAAUGAUCCAAGUUAUCUCUUUAUCAUCUUGGUGGAAGAAGUGUUCAUCUCUUCGUCGAUCUAAAGCUAGCAAUCGUUUCCGUUAGUGGCCGGUUGUCACCUCAUAAUUUUGAGAUGUUUUCCAUAAGCCCACUACAAGCUUAUUCGUUUCGUUGUUAGUUUUUCCCAACAACCCCGUUGUAACCUUCUUGGAAGGAUGCUUUCCAAACUCAUUUGUGGCAGAAGUUGGCAUUUUCUUCUCCAUUCUGUUAUUCCAAUGAUAUAUCUUCUAUUAUUUCUUUCGGAGGCAUUGUGACGUUGCUCUUUUCACUCACCAUCUCGAUUCGUGAGGAUCGUGUUCUUUUCUUGCUUAUCCAUUUAACCGGAGUGUCGUGUUUUCAUUCGAGUUCUCUAAUCUUAUCAAGUUUUCCCUCCUUCCUCAACUGGAGAGCUGUCUGAAAUCCUUCUUACCCAUUGUGCCAUUCUUUCAAUAGUUCCGGAGGCAGUGUGUUGUUGAUUUCAUCAAGUAGCAUCCCAUCUUCUCAAGUUCAUGUUCUAUUCCUUCCAUGUUCAACCGGAGUACUGCCCGAAUUCUUCCCCUCUCAUCUUGUUUUAACCGGAGUGGUUUCGAAUUCUAUCUUGUCCAUUAAACUCUUGAUUCAUGUCUUUGCAGCCUUCAAGUUCUCGUAAUGUUCCUUGUUCCUUUUUUUUUCUAACGGAUUGUUUGCAAUCUCGUUCUUCUCAGUUGUGCUCUUUCUUUUAAAUUGCUCAACCUCUCAAGGUUCUUUGGUUUCACUCAUUGGUCGAAGAAGCAACUUAGUUUUACCUCUUCUCUUCCUCUUCCAUUUCUCUCCGGUGCCAUCCUAGAUCUCGGGACGAGAUCCUCUUGUAGUGGUGGAGUGUUGUAACGCCCCGAGACCGACGCUCCAGUAGACUUCCAGCUAUUCCGAGUUUCGUCGUGUGAUUUGUUUUAUUUGUUGCAUUCAUCCUUGCGUCAUGUGCAUUGCAUCAUGUCAUCAUGCCAUCAUAUCAUUAAUUUUUAAAACCUCAACUAAAUAAAUUGUAUGGAUUUUUCGAUCCAUUUAAAUCGAGGGAAUUCACAUGGUGAUUCUCUUUAAAACAUAUCCUCUCGAUAUUUAGAGAGCUAUAGUAAAUAUUUCAUUUCGGGAAAUCACCCAUAACACAUUUGCAUUAUUCUUCUACUCUUCUUUUAUUCGACUCAACCUCCUAUCCUGCUUUUUCGAUCUUUUAGUAAAAUUGAGUUGCAAAUUUUACUUCUCCAUUAAUGUUCCAAAUCUGCCCAUAAAUCACACCUGGUGCGUAGGGUCACCUCCUAUAGUUUCAACCCAUUUGGAGCUCAUUUGAAUGGGUUUCAAAUUCAAACUUGCUGAGUUAAAUCCAAUGCGUGUGGAUUUUACUUCCCUAAAAAAAAUCCUCUUCCCAUUUUAUUUAAAUUCCUCAUAUUUUUAUGAGACCGUGAAAACUAUCCCCAUGCCCAGAUUCCACCCCUACCUUCUCUUUCUCUUCUUUCUCUUUUUCUGUUUCGUUGGUAAAUGGAAAAAAGAAUAGGAGAGAGAGAAGAGAAGCCCAGCCGGCCCAUUUGCCUGGAGGUCCAGCCCACCUAACCCCUUCCUAACCCUAGCCUCGAAGGCCAGCCCAGCCUCUCUCCCUCGACUCCCUCCAGCGCCGCCGCAAUGCUCGAUCCCAUCUCCUUCCUCUCGCUCGAAGCCCCUCCUCUCGAUCCCUUUUCCCCUUCGUUCUCCUCCUGGCGCCGCCACUCACAGGGAGAGAGAGGAGCAGAGCCCUCGCGCCGCCCCUCCCCUAUGCUUCUCCCGCAUCGAGCGCGCGUCCCCGCCGGCUCCCGUCGCCCCUGCCUCGACGCCUGCUUCGCCUCCUUUGCCCUAUCGCGUCGUUCCUCAAGCUCCCGCGCCCUGUUUCUCCUCCCGCGCCGACGCCCUCCUUCGGCUGCUCGCGCCUGCAGCUCCGUCCGCGAGCUCGUGCAGCCAUGGCCGCCACAGGAGCCUCGCGCCCGACCCCCUCGCUGAGGCCAUGGAUGUCCGCGGCCCCGCCUUCCUGCACCUCCACACGCCGCCCGCACACGCCACCAACCGCUGCUCCGCCUCCAUCGAGCUCCAUCCCCUGCUGUCACUGGAUCGCCAAGAUGCAACCCCGACCACGUCGGCCCCUUCCUCGUACAACGCUCAAGCCUUCAUGCCCGAGGCCUUCGUCAUCUCUCUGUGUUGCGCUGCGUGCGACCCUGUCAGCCACAUGGUCGCCACCUCUGCAGCCUCCUGCUGCUGUUUCGUGCACCUUCGCUGCCGGUUGGCGUUGACGCAAGACCAACGGCUUCAUCGUCGUUCGCCUACAUGCCCGAACCUCGAAGAUCCCGUGGAACGCCAAGUACCACUAUCCAUCUCCGAGGAUUUCUCCAAGUACCGCACCGGACACCAAGUUCAUCUACGAAAAACGUGUACAACUACCGUCGCCGUGUACAACUACUUCCACUACCGUCGCCCCGAAGGCGUUGGAUUCUUCAAGUACCUCUCCGAAAACGAACAUGUACCACUACUUCAACUACUUCCACUACGACCGUUGCGAGAACGUCUACUUCCUCUUCAUUGCACCGAACUCGUUCCGCCCCGAAAAUACACGCUUCAAAGGUAUAACCAACGAGACGAUCACCCGUGGACCGAGUGUGUGUGUUGUAUGAGAUGCCCGUGCUUGCACCGUGUCCAAAUUGUCGCUUGCGCAUUCCUUCUCGUUUGCCAUGCCACCGACACGUGGGAACCCGGUAUCUGGGAUCACCCCACCAUCUUCUGUAUGUUUCGCACAUCCGCACACUUGCUCUUUUGCACCGGUAUCUCAAUGAGUUAUCGGAUCAUCAGAAUGUUGUCGUGGCACCAUUUUCGUUAUCGUUGCCGUGGCACCAUUUUCGUUAUCGUUGCCGUGGCACCCUUUCUUUCCGCCACGGUGACAAAUGCUUCAUAACAUGCUCAUGUCAACAUUUUCAUAAAAUUGCAUAAAACUUGUAUAUGUCAUCCGCAUCAUGAUAACAACAUUUAAAAUGUUUAAACUUGUUGUUGCAUUAAAUUGCUAAAUGCAUAUGGGGAUUUACCGGAUUUGUUGUUUUUAUAUCCGGCCCCAUUUAAAUUGUUUAGAUGGUAUAGUUUAUAUUAUGCUUCACCUCUUGCCAUGUUUAACAACAGUUAAUAUUGUUGGGUAGCUUAAAUGAGAGAUAACUAAAUAAUUGAUGUGGUGUUCCGUCAACAUGCACCUCGUUGCAUAUUGAGCUCCACUUAACUUGUAGUAUUGUUUGUUGCACUUUGCCAUGCCAUGCCUCAUUAAACCGGACAUGCAUCAUACUUGUUUGUGCAUCAUGACUUGUUUAUGCUUGUGUGUUUACUAUGUUGUUUGUUUCUUUCCGGGUUGCUUCUCUCGUUAGCUUCGGUUUCGUUCCGGAGUUGUGAGGAUUCGUUCGACUACGUCCGUUUGUCUUCUUCUUGGACUCGUUCUUCUUCCUUGCGGGAUUUCAGGCAAGAUGAUCAUACCCUCGAAAUCACUACUAUCUUUGCUAUGCUAGUUUGCUCGCUCUUGCUAUGCCAAUGCUACGAUGCCUACCAUUUGCUUGUCAGCCUCCCAAAUUGCCAUGUCAAACCUCUAACCCACCAUGUCCUAGCAAACCGUUGAUUGGCUAUGUUACCGCUUGCUCAGCCCCUCUUAUAGCGUUGUUAGUUGCAGGUGAAGAUUGAAGUUUGUUCCUUGUUGGAACAUGGAGAUGUUGUUCCUUGUUGGAACAUGUUUACUGGUUGGGAUAUCACAAUAUAUCUUACUUAAUUAAUGCAUCUAUAUACUUGGUAAAGGGUGGAAGGCUCGGCCUUAUGCCUGGUGUUUUGUUCCACUCUUGCCGCCCUAGUUUCCGUCAUAUCGGUGUUAUGUUCCCGGAUUUUGCGUCCCUUACGCGGUUGGGCUAUAAUGGGAACCCCUUGACAGUUCGCCUUAAGUAAAGCUUCUCCAGCAAUGCCCAACAUUGGUUUUACCAUUUGCCACCUAGCCUUUUCUUUCCCUUGGGUUCUGCAGACUCAAGGGUCAUCAUUUUUUAACCCCCCCGGGCCAGUGCUCCUCUGAGUGUUGGUCCGAACUAGAGUCCUGUGCAGCGCCCCCUCGGGGAAACUCGAGGUUUGGUUUUAGUUGUAUGGAGCGCUCAUCUGAGUGUGCCCUGAGAAAGAGAUAUGUGCAGCUCCUAUCGGGAUUUGUCGGCACAUUCGGGCGGUGUUGCUGGUUUAGUUUUACCCUGUCGAAAUGUCUUGUUGUACUGGGAUACCGAGUCUGAUCGGAAUGUCUCGGGUGGAGGUCUAUUCCUUCGUUGACCGUGAGAGCUUGUGAUGGGCUAAGUUGGGACACCCCUGCAGGGAUUUGAACUUUCGAAAGCCGUGCCCGCGGUUAUGGGCAGAUGGGAAUUUGUUAACGUCCGGUUGUAGAAAACCCGAAGUUGACCUUAAUUAAAAUACAUCAACCGUGUGUGUAACCGUGAUGGUCUCUUUCCGGCGGAGUCCGGGAAGUGAACACGGUGUUGGAGUUAUGCUUGACGUAGGUUGCUAUAGGAUCACUUCUUGAUCAUACUUCUAUCGACCGUGCUUUGCCUUCUCUUCUCGCUCUCAUUUGCGUAUGUUAGCCACCAUAUAUGCUAGUCGCUUGCUGCAGCUCCACCUCAUUACUCCAUCCUUCCUAUAAGCUUAAAUAGUCUUGAUCUCGCGGGUGCGAGAUUGCUGAGUCCCCGUGGCUCACAGAUACUUCCAAAACCAGUUUGCAGGUGCCUAUGUUACCGAACAGGUGACGCAACCAAGCUCAAGGAGGAGCUCGAUGAAGAUCUUGCCCUUUGUGUUGUUUCGUUCUAGUUGAUCAGUAGUGGAGCCCAGUUGGGGUCGAUUAGGGACCUUUGUCGCAUUUGGGGUUCUUCUUUUAUUUUGGUUCCGUAGUCGGACCUUGAUUGUAUCUGGAUGAUGUAAUGCUUUAUUCAUGUAAUUGUGUGAAGUGGCGAUUGUAAGCCAACUAUGUAUCUCUUUCCCUUAUGUAUUACAUGGGUUGUGUGAAGAUUACCUCACUUGCGACAUUGCUUUCAAUGCGGUUAUGUCUCUAAGUCGUGCUUCGACACGUGGGAGAUAUAGCCGCAUCGAGGGCGUUACACCUACCAUUGUAACCGACUCUGUGUAACCCUAGCCCUCUCCGGUGUCUAUAUAAACCGGAUGGCUUUAGUCCAUAGGACGAACAACAAUCAUACCAUAGGCUAGCUUAUAGGGUUUAGCCUCCUUGAUCUCGUGGUAGAUCCACUCUUGUAACACACAUCAUCAAUAUUAAUCAAGCAGGUCGUAGGGUUUUACCUCCAUCAAGAGGGCCCGUCGUGUCCCUUGUCUCCUGUUUCCAUCCGCCUAGACGCACAGUUCGGGAUCCCCUACCCGAGAUCCACCGGUUUUGACACCGACAUUGGUGCUUUCAUUGAGAGUUCCUCUGUGUCGUCACCAUCAGGAAGGAUGCCUUUUCCCGUCUUUAAAGAUGGCACCAUCGUCAAGGGAGCUUUGGCCGCCGGCCAGACUAUCCGGCUAGGCGGUUUUCCUAUGACCGCCUGUUCGGCCAUCGCUCCGACAAUGACCUCUCGUGUCAUUAAAAGCGAUCUUCACAUCAGCUCGGAAUUCGCCGAGCAGCUAGAUCCGAUUGAGCUCUCCUCCGUAAACGAGCUCUUGGAUCCCAUCGCCGCCCUGGGAGUCGCUACCGACUAGGAUCAGAUUUGGCUUAAAACCAAUCUGAGAGAAAUUAACUCUCCCCAUGUUACCCACCACGUUGUUGUGGUAGAGAACAAUGCGGCGACUCUUCUUCUAUGAUAAAAACCAACUAUGUCCGGAUUCCCGAUCCCUCCAUGCCGGAUUCCCGCGGGGGGAUGGACGCUAAUCAAAUACUGAACCUAAAGUCAGGCAUCGGAUCAGAUUUGUUGGAAAGCAUCCAGCAAACCAAGCUUCCGAAUCCGGAAGCUUCUUGGCCUUUGAGCCUUAGAUCGGGCGGGGUUCGGAACUUAAUUCCACCCGCCCACCCAAACAUAAGCGAUCUAUCUCAAAUACGGCAAGAGCCUGAUAAAACAGUACAUCAUUACUGGGCCAGAUUCCUCCUGGUUAUGAACAGGAUAAAGGACUGCCGUGAAGAAAGCGUGAUUUCAAUUUUCUGCAACAAUUGCACGGACAAGGGAAUCAUAAAUGCCAUCAGUCGUCGUGAAGUUACACGCUUCGCCGACCUAACAACCAUUGUACAAAAAUACUGCGCGAUGGAGAGUGCCUGGAAAACUGAAACUAGGUUUUGGGACAAUCCGGCCCUGAAUACAACCCCAGUCCGAAAUAAAAGGGUGCGUCAUACUCAAGCACCUGGGUUAAAAACCAACAAGCAAAAACCCCCUAAAGGGUACGGAACCGUACUGGAGGGAUGGCUCAACGGACCCUGCAAAAUCCACAGCACGGAGGGCGCCACUCCAACACAUAGCCUCCGAGCAUGUUGGAUACUACGACGGGUGGCCAAAAGUGGUGAAGGCUUUUUAGCCCCGGGCAACCAGCCCAGUAGUACGAGUACGGUAUUAACAGUCUUCGAGACUUUCGCAUCAAAUAACAUGCGGAAACGAACAAUCCGCAGCCUCGCCGAAGUCUACCAAGUAGCAACAACAAAUCCAUGGAGCGACACGGCUAUCACCUUCAAUGCCAGCGACGAACCUAAAUUCCGAACAGCUAGAGCACCAGCCGCAUUGGUCCUCAGUCCGAUAGUGGACGGCUUUCGUCUUACCAAGGUACUCAUGGAUGACAGCAGCGGAUUAAACCUCAUCUACGAGGAAACCCUUCAAAAAAGGGAAAUUGACUGGAGCCGCAUUGAGCGAAGCAGCACAACCUUCAGGGGAAUAAUCCCUAGUCGAGAAGUACGCUGCACAGGAAAAAUCACACUAGAUGUAGUGUUCGGCUCGCCGGACAAUUACAGGUCUGAAGAGGUCACGUUCCAAGUGGCCCCAUUCGGCAGCGGAUACCACGCUUUGUUAGGGCGAGAGGCAUUCACAAUCUUCCAAGCUAUACCCCAUUACGGGUACAUGAAGCUCAAAAUGCUAGGACCCAAUGGAAUAAUCACUCUCGCCAGUGAUCCAGAUACAGCACUCCGCGCUGAAAAUAGGACAGCCGCACUGGCCCUAGAGGCAUUAUCCGAAGCUCUAGCGGCAGAGGAACUAACUGCGCUGCGCUCCACGGUGGAUAGGGACGAUGUGAUACUCGAUAAGAGGUCCAAGUCCACCUUUUUUAAACCAGCAGACGAAAUAGUCAAAUUUCAGGUCCAUCCAACGGACCCCACAAAGAUGGCCUCCAUUGGGGCACAAUUAAAUCCUAAUGUAGAAGCCGCACUACGAGAAUUCCUCCGGGAAAAUUGGGACAUUUUUGCCUGGCACCCUUCAGACAUGCCAGGAAUGCCACGCAGGCUGGCAGAGAACAGCCUAAAUAUCCUAAAAGGAUUCAAGCCAGUCAAACAAGCUCUUCGGCGAUUUUCCGAACCCAAAAGACAGGCAAUGGGAGAGGAGCUAGCCAAACUCUUAGAAGCCGGAUUCAUCAGAGAUAUAAAACAUCCGGACUGGCUAGACAACCUAGUAAUGGUACCAAAAAAGGACAAAUCCUGGCGCCUCUGCGUCGAUUUCAAAGACCUUAACAAGGCCUGUCCAAAGGACCCUUUCCCUCUCCCUCGCAUCGACCAAAUCAUCGAUGCUACCGCAGGGCACGAUUCAUUGUGCUUCCUCGAUGCAUACUCCGGAUACCAUCAAAUCAAGAUGGCGGAAAAAGACCAGGCCGCAACGGCAUUCAUUACUCCAUAUGGGCCAUUCUGCUUCAACAUAAUGCCCUUCGGACUCAAAAACGCCGGCGCAACAUAUCAGUGCAUGAUUCAGACAUGUCUGGCUACCCAAAUAGGCAAAACAGUAGAGGCAUAAGUAGACGAUGUGGUCGUCAAGACCAAACACGUCGAAACUUUAGUAGACGACUUGAGGGUGACAUUCGACAACCUCCGAGCAUAUGACAUUAAGCUCAAACCGGAAAAAUGUGUCUUCGGAGUACCAGCCGGAAAGCUCUUGGGCUUCAUUGUAUCCGGUAGAGGAAUUGAAGCAAACCCAGCCAAGAUCCGAGCUCUGUCACAAUUGGAUAUUCCAAAGGUGUCGGGGGUUGGAUACGACAUACGCCAAAGGAUGGCUUAUCAUGGUGGGAGCGAGUAGAACGUCGCCGGUGCCUGGAAGCGGGAUGAGGCGAAGACAUGCACGCCGGCGGAACUUACCCAGCUUCAGGGCUCUCCUAGGAGAUAACACCCCUACUGUUGCUCUGCGGGGUCUCCGCAUGAUCACUAAGGCAAGGUGACUACAAUGGUGCUCCUGGAGCUGUUUCGGGAGGCAGGAGAGGGCAAGGCUAGCUCUCUCCUCCCUGUGCUAUCUGGUCUAUCUCUAUUCAGGUCUGAACCCUUUGCAUGGGUGCCCCGGGGGGUUUAUAUAGGCCUACCCCCCAGGGGUACAAUAGUAAUCCGGCUGGGCGCGGGUCCCAGCCGUCUGUCUCUCAGGCCACCGUCCUUCCCGCCGGCUUCUGGGGCCCGCCGACUGGCGGGUCCCGCGGACAGGCAUGAUAUUGUAGCGGCACUUCUGAUGACACAGGCUCGGUCAUUGGGUCGUGGCAACAGUGCCGCCGUCUAUCGGGUGAUCACUGUCGCCAUUCCCCAUCCUAUCUGGUUAAUGGCUCGUGGGGCCCUGGGGAGGAGUCGGCCGACUCCAGGGAGGCCGACUCCCACAGGUCCGUCUUCGGGGCGCCCAGGACGCCUUCGGCCCACCCACUGACAGGUGGCCCCGCCGCCUUCGGGUCGUACAGGCCGGCGUCAUGGGCACAGUGUACGGCGCACUGUGGCUGAGGUCAGGGCAGGCAUGGCAACAGUGCCGCGCCUCACCGGAGAUCUUCCAGCGAUACGACUCACUGUAGCCAUGCCGGCCCUUCGUAAGCAGGGGGGAACGACCACGUCGUGACCAUACCCCGCAUCGUACUUCGUGAUGAGGGAGGAGUCAUGGGCCGACUCUCCAGAGUCGGCCUCUCUGGAGGUCGCCAGCUUGGAGUCGGCUUAUCUUGGAGUCGCCGUCUAGGACUCGGCUUGUCUUGGGGUCGCCGUCUGGGACUCGGCCUAAGGGGCGCGGCCUGCCCCGAUGUCCUGAAAGGUCCUGGGACACGGGUUAGCCUACCCGUGGCCCAUUACUCCGACAGUAGUCCCCGAAGCUGGUGGAGCCCUGCAGAUGCUGCAUUGUGGGGCUUCAACAGUUUCAACCUUCCAGGAGCGGACUCUGGAACUCGGCUGCCAUCUUCCCUUGGGCCGACUGUCGAGAGUCAGAUGUUUAGCAAAGAGCCGUAGCUCGAAAGUCGCGGCGGGAAAUCAGGCGGCGUGCCUGAUAUGCUUCCCCGCAGCCAUCAGGGCGGUCCAAUCACGUGGCGCCACGUGGAGAGGACAGUCUGCCUGCCCACACGCGUGAUGGGACGGGCCGUCAGGCGGGGCCCGCCACUACCGUGCCUCGGCAUACGAACGAAUCCGUUGCGGCCAUGGACGGUUGGUUUUCCCACGUCGUUAUUGCACGUAGUAACUUCGUGGGGUAAAUCAUGGGGCGGCGUGGGGCAUCGUGCGCAGUUAAUCCCACNNNNNNNNNNNNNNNNNNNNNNNNNNNNNNNNNNNNNNNNNNNNNNNNNNNNNNNNNNNNNNNNNNNNNNNNNNNNNNNNNNNNNNNNNNNNNNNNNNNNNNNNNNNNNNNNNNNNNNNNNNNNNNNNNNNNNNNNNNNNNNNNNNNNNNNNNNNNNNNNNNNNNNNNNNNNNNNNNNNNNNNNNNNNNNNNNNNNNNNNNNNNNNNNNNNNNNNNNNNNNNNNNNNNNNNNNNNNNNNNNNNNNNNNNNNNNNNNNNNNNNNNNNNNNNNNNNNNNNNNNNNNNNNNNNNNNNNNNNNNNNNNNNNNNNNNNNNNNNNNNNNNNNNNNGCCUUCUCUCCCUCCUGCCUCCGCCGUCGAGCAAGAACACUCCACAGCACGGCGAUGAGCUCUUCCUCCGCCGCGGCCCCCGCCGUGCGCUCCGGCGUGUGGGACGGCUCGGAGGUAGAAGAAGAACACAUCGAGUUCCUCCACCGGACACGCCGUCUCCCCAGCGCGGACCUUGUGCGCGCCCGCGCCGCGUCGGAGGGGGAGAUUCGGCCGGCGCCGGAGGAGGGCGAGCGGUUCAUCUUCCGCUCGCACCUCAUGCGCGGCCUGGGGCUGCCGGCAAGCGGCUUCUUCCGCUCGUUCUUGGAGUUCCACAGCCUUCAACCGCACCACCUCACUUCAAACACGGUGGUGUUGCUCUCCGCCUUCGCCACUCUGUGCGAAGGUUUCCUCGGCGUUCUCCCCACCAUCAAGUUGUGGGGAGAAUUCUUCUCUUCUAAGCUCGGCACGCACGUCGCCGGCGUGCCGGCUCAGUGCGGCGCCUACAUCACGGUGCGGCGCUCAACGGCCGACAACCCCUUUCCUCCCAUCACGCUGAUCAAGUCGGAGAAGAUGUGGCAGCGCUCAUACUUCUACGUGAAGAACCUCGCUUCCGAGGGCGACUGGGUCAACCUGUCGCCUUACAACGCCGCCCCCCUAACUGGGAGGCUCCCCAGCUGGUCUCACCGAGUCAAGUCGCUGACUCUCGCCGGAGCCGCCGCCGUAGCGCGACUCCGAGUCUUGAUACAGUCGGAGGGUCUCGUCGGGGCCGACUUGCUGGCCGCCUUCGUGGCGCGUCGAGUUCUCCCGCUCCAAGGUUGGCCUCACCUGAUCUGUCAGAUGAGCGGCCUCCGAGACCCAAGUCGGAUGAGCACCAAGGAGAUGCCCCGCAAGGAGGUGGCGAACUUGGUGAACCAUAUCGCGCACUGCGAGUUCGAGGAGGACUGGAAGUUCGGCAAGGAGCCGUACUCGCGCGACAACCCCCACCAGUGGUAAGUCGCGUCUCCUUAUUGUUUUGUCUUCUUUGCGGCCGACUCCGGCUUCUGACUCUUGUCGGUUUCUUCUGAGCCAGAAUCCUCUUAUGCAGCCCGUAGCCGACGCCACGAGACAGCCCCGCGAGUAUGUUCCCGACCGUGCGGAGAGCAACGUCGACGAUCCCGACUUGGGGGCGGCGGCGAUGGAAGCCGACGCAGAAGGCGGGGGAGAGGGAGCGGAAGGCGACUUCAGGCCCUCGGCCACCUUCGUCGACUGGCCUGACGAUGACGCCGAAGGGGAGGUCGCCCCGUGCCACCAGCCUAAGGUCGGUUCCUCCGCCGGCCAAGGCGGUUUGAAGAGGCGUCACGCCGGGCCGAGUGCGCCUGGUGGCAAGUUGAAGAAGAUAAAGGGGGCGGCUGCUGCGACUAGACGGGAGGAGGCGGCCGCGAAGGCCAACCGCUUCCGAAGGGAAGUGAGAAGGCCGCCGUUAGUCUCUGCGUAAGUCUUUACGCUUUUUUAUUUCCUUUGUUGAAUCUUGUCCGAGUUUUCUUUUAUGCUCCCUCUGUUCUUCUUCAGGGCCCCUCUUUCCCUUGAGAGAGUCGCCGUCCCCUCCGUCAUGGGGUUGGCAGAGACGUCCGCCAAUUCUUCUCCGUAAGAUCCUGCAUAAUAAAUGAUUCUUAAAUCAGUUAUUUUAACUAUUUUAAGUCUCGGGGGCUACUGGCAUAUAUAACUAUUAAAAUUAAUUACCCAUAUGUCCUUCACAUACUGCUCCGUGGCUCUGGUUAAACCAUCUCGAGCGGCACGGAGGUGCGCGUCUCCCGCUUCAAAGGCAUUCAAUGCCUCCGGGGAGAAACACGCGUCACGAAGAACUGUCCGGCGACGCCUAUGAUUCAUGGCGCUCUCCACCUCAGACCGGGUGGCAGAUAGCCUGUCGGCAUCCUCCGUCGGAGGAACAUCCGGCUCAUGCCUUGUGUUCGCCUCCCCUUCCGGACCACGCGAUGGAGCAUGGCUAGCGGAGGCUUGAUUGGCAACCUCUCCGGACACUGUCCGGCGAGCGCUCUUUCUCCUGGAAAAGUUAUGAGCAUUAAUAUACCUCCUAGGGAUCCUUCCCUUAAAAACAACGGUGAGCCGUACCGUUGCGGCGACGUUUCGAUUCGCGUCGCACUCCUCUCCCUUGUACAAGCCGGACAGGAUCUUUGCCAGAUCGGCUGCCGAGCCCGGCCCUCUGCGGCCAUGACGGGUGGCGUCGUAUUCCCCGUUGAAAUCCCACAUAGGGUGGCCCCUAUAUUGGAGUGGCUGCACCCCUCGCAUAAUGCACGUGGCCAUGAUUCCAAUCAUGGUCAAUCCGGAGUGGGCCAGUAACCUAAUCCAGCCCAUCAGAUAAUGGGCGCUCCCAUCAUCCUCUCGUUGAGGGCUCCGUGGGCGCCAACUCAGGCGUUUCUUCAAGGGAGCAUUGCUGAACUCCGGGAGGCCUAUCCGAACUGGAUCCGGCAGAGGAGCGUCCUCCAUGUAGAACCAUUCCGAAGGCCAGUCUUCGGACGCCUUCUUCGGGGUGCCGGAUAGAUAUCCGGUCCCGGCGAUGCGCCAUAUUUCGGCUCCACCCACUUGAUAUAUUGACCCCUCGUAAGAAUGGGGUACGAGGCAAAACAAUCUCUUCCACAGCGCAAAAUGGGGCUCGAUGCCAAGAACAGCUCGCAAAGAGCUACAAAGCCCGCGAUGUGCAAAAUGGAGGCAGGUGUGAGGUGGUGAAGCUGGAGUCCAUAGAACUCCAGGAGCCCCCGGAGAAAUGGAUGUAUGGGAAAUCCGAGUCCCCUUAUCAGGUAAGGGACGAAGCAUACCCGCUCUCCUUUGGAAGGGUUGGGGAUGCUCUCCUCCUGCUUUCCACCCCUGAAGGUGGCCAGUCCGGCUCGAACCGGAACCAUGAAAGCUGGGGGAAGAUAUCCCUCGGUUUGGAGCGCCACUAGCUCGCUGUGUGGAACUGAGCAUCUCCCCCAAUCUCCUGGCUUAGGGCUGGGAGCGCGAGAGGAGGAGCCGCAUCGACUAUCCAUGAUAGAAUGGAUUUUUGUCAGAGGCGCUUCGAUGAGAACUUGCGGAUGGAGGAUGGUGUGAGCUGGAUCUAGAUCCUCGCCUCUCUUAUAGGCGGCUCGUUCGCACGGCUGGGGGGUAAAAUGUAAAAAUACCCUAGCUUUUCGCAUUCAUAUGACACGUGGAAGAAGGCCAUUAUUGGGCAUAGAAGCUAAGGAGCGCAACAUUUAUAAGGAAGCCGGACACUAUUCGACAGGAACAUGAAGUUUGAAGGAGAACCCGCCUUGCAACGCCGAAGACAAUAUAUGCGCCGGACUCGUCGUCGCUGAAGCCUGGUUCGGGGGCUAUUGAGGGAGUUCCGGACUAGGGGGUGUCCGGAUAGCCGAACUAUCAUCAUCGACCGGACUCCAAGACUAUGAAGAUACAAGAUUGAAGACUUCGUCCCGUGUCCGGAUGGGACUUUCCUUGGCGUGGAAGGCAAGCUUAGCCCUCUCCGGUGUCUAUAUAAACCGGAUGGCUUUAGUCCAUAGGACGAACAACAAUCAUACCAUAGGCUAGCUUCUAGGGUUUAGCCUCCUUGAUCUCGUGGUAGAUCCACUCUUGUAACACACAUCAUCAAUAUUAAUCAAGCAGGACGUAGGGUUUUACCUCCAUCAAGAGGGCCUGAACCUAGGUAAAACAUCGUGUCCCUUGUCUCCUGUUACCAUCCGCCUAGACGCACAGUUCGGGACCCCCUACCCGAGAUCCGCCGAUUUUGACACCGACACUCGGUUUUAAAAUAGAGAUUGAAUAACAUUUUGAGAGGCAUACUUUUGCUGUCAACGCAACAAGUAUGAGAUGAUGAUAUCUUCCAUGCUAAACAAAUUAUAGGCGGUUCCCAAACAGAAUGGUAAAGUUUAUACUCCCCCUCCUCCACAGGCAUCAUUCCAUGGCUUGCUCGAAACAACGAGUGCCUCCAACAUUCAACGGGUCCUAUGGGGAGUUUUGUUUGCAAUUAUUUUGAUUUUGUUUGCAUAAAGCAUGUGACUAGGCAUCCCGGUGACCAGCCAUUUUCUCGUGAAUGAGGAGCGGAGUCCACUCCUCUUGAGAAUAACCGCCUAAUAUGGAAGAUAAGGGCAGCCCUAGUUGAGACAUGAGCUGCUCGAGCAUACAAAACAGAAUUUCAUUUGAAGGUUUGGACUUUGGCACAUACAAAUUUACUUGGAACGGUAGGUAAAUACCGCAUAUAGGUAGGUAUAGUGGACUCAUAUGGAACAACUUUGGGGUUUAAGGAGUUUGGAUGCACAAGCAGUAUUCCCGCUUAGUACAGGUGAAGGCUAGCAAAAGACUGGGAAGCGACCAACUAGGAGAGCGACAAUAGUCGUAAACAUGCAUUAAAAUUAAUUUACACCGAAUACAAGCAUGAGUAGGAUAUAAUCUACCAUGAACAUAAUAUCAUGAAGGCUAUGUUGAUUUGAUUCAACUACAUGCGUGAACAUGUGCCAAGUCUAGUCACUCAAUUCAUUUAAAGGAGGAUACCAUCCCAUCAUACCACAUCAUGAUCAUUCUAAUAGCAUGUUGGCACGCAAAGUAAACCAUUAUAACUCAUAGCUAAUCAAGCAUGGCACAAGCAACUAUAAUCUCUAAAUGUCAUUGCAAAUAUGCUUACUUCAUAAUAGCUAACUCAGGAACGCUGAAUCAUCAUAUUUACAAAAACAAGAGAGGUCGAGUUCAUACCAGCUUUCUCAUCCCAAUAAGUCCAUCAUAUACCAUCAUUAUUGCCUUUCACUUGCAUGACCGAACGAUGUGAAUAAUAAUAAGAGUGCACGUGCAUUGGACUAAGCUGGAAUCUGCAAGCAUUCAACAAACAGGAGAAGAAAAGUAAUAUGGGCUCUAAGUUAAAUAAACAAUCAUGCAUAUAAGAGCCACUUCAACAAUUUAAUCAUGGUCUUCUCCUACUGACCCCCAAAGAAAAGAAAAGAAAAGAAAUAAAAACUAUUUACACGGGAAAGCUCCCAACAAGCAAAAGAAGAACGGGAAAUAUUUUUGGGCUUUCCUUUUUAAUCCUACAAGAAAGAAAUAAACUACUACUAAUAUUUUUUUUUGUUUUUCUUAAGGUUUAUUAAACACACAAGAAGAAAGCAGGAAAAAGAAAGUAAGCUAGCAUGGAUAUUACAGUGAAAGAGUAUGAACACCGAUAUCUAGCAAUGAGUGUGUGUGAACAUGAAUGUAAUGUCGGUGAGAAAUAUGUACUCCCCCAAGCUUAGGCUUUUGGCCUAAGUUGGUCUAUUGCCAGGGAUGGCCUGGCGGAUACCCGUAGGUGAAGCUGAGGUCGUAUUGCGAUGCAGCGGCUAUCGCCUCAUGAGCUGCAGCGUAGUGUCGAUCUCCCUCCGCUCUCCUCUCGUACUCAUCUGCCUCCUCUCUGGUAAUAAUAUAUCUUCCUUUUGUCUGAGAAUCAAAGAAGGCAAGAGCAGGAAGAGUAAUAUGGACUGCAUGUCGUUUGUUAAAGAUUAGUCGAUACUGGAGUGGUGGUUCAGUCCUCUCAACAAACUAGUGGGAAACCAUAGAAUCAAAAUCCAAAUAAGUAGAGGGUAACUCCAUAUCACUCUCUCGAAUGUCUAUCUCAAGAAAAUUAGCUAAGCGGGUUGCAUAAAUCCCUCCAAAGAAAUCUCCGUUAUAUCUAUUAUGGUGCAACCUGCGAGCUACAAUGGCUCCCAUAUGAUAAGAUUGGUCUCCUAACACAGCACUUCUGAGAAUGCUGAGAUCAGGUGCACACAUGUGACAUGCUUCAUCCUUAGCAUUAAUGCUUCUACCUAUGAAGAGAGCAAAAUAAUGUAUAGCAUGGAAGUGAAUGCUCCCUAAAGUGGCUUGCGCUAUAUCUCUAGAUUCCCCCACAGUUAUUUUAGCAAGAAAGUCUCUAUAUUCAGAUUUAGGGGGAUCCCUGAUACUACCCCAAGAUGGAAGUUUGCAAGCAAAAUUGAAAUCCUCUAAGUCCAUGGUAUAAGAUUUGUCAUAAAGGUCAAACAUGACUGAAGGAGAAUUACGCGAAGAUGAAAACUCAAACCUCCUCACAAAUGAACUUGUGAGAUCACGGUACUGGGGGCAUUUAUCAGCUUCAAAGUCCUCAAGACCGGCAUUGCAUAUAUAUACGUUGAAUUCUUCUUUAGUUCCCGCUUGAUCCAUAAAAUUUUCCGAAGGCCAUUCACAGGGCCUAACAGGAGCGUCUCUUGGUGGUUCCUCGUCAGCAUCGCGUAUUGCAAGCCUGGGACCUUGUUUCCUUGAAGAGCCACCUUGGAACAUCCUCCUAAACAUAAUGUUUCCUCUAAAAAAAUUCUGAAAUUUUUAGUAACUUCAAAUAAAAGUGAACCAACUUCAAUAAAAUUGAUAGCAACUACUCCCACGAGUGCCUAGAGCCUAAAUCAAGCAUUAGAACUACUUGGGACCAUAUGAAUUUAACAUGCAAGCUCAAGAACAUGGUCACCCCUGCAGCAUAAAUUUGCAAUGAAUAGAGCACUAGAACAAAAACUAAUUGGACCAAUGGAGGAGUCACAUACCAAGGAACAAUCUCCCCAAGCAGUUUUGCGAGAGGUGCUUUGAGCAAGGAGAUCGAAAAUCACAGCAACCGGGGCUAGAACUCGUGCUUGAGUUGGUUUUUCGUGUUUGUGUGAGGCAGAUGAAGAAGAUGGGUGCAGGGAUAAGUGGAGGAGGGCCACCAUGGGCCCACGAGGCAGGGGGCGCGCCCUCCACCCUCGUGGCCAGGUGGCAGCUCCCCCCCGGUGAUUUUUGCACAGUAAAUUCUUAAAUAUUCCCAAAAAAAUCAUAUUAAAUUGGCAUGGCAUUCUGAGGACUUUAUUUUCGAGAUAUUUUUAUAUUACAUGGAUAAGUCAGGAGACAGACGGAAAAAUACUAUUUUACUUUAUUUCUAUUAAAUAACAGAAAAUAUAAAGAGGGUACAAAAGGUUGUGCUUCUAGUUUCAUCCAUCUCAUGCUCAUCAAAAAGAAUCCACUAACAAGGUUGAUCAAGUCUUGUUAACAAACUCAUUCCGAUUAGCAUGGAACCGGAGAAAUUUCGAAUAUCACUAUGUUACCUCAAUGGGGAUAUGGACAUCCCCAAUAAUAAGAAUAUUAUCUUUUUCUUGACAGUAGGGAGAGGAACUUCAAAACCUCCAAAUAUAAUCGAUGGAAUUUUUCCAAUAGAGUUGAUACUAUAAACCUGAGGAUGUUUCCUUGGAAAGUGUACCGUGUGCUCAUUGCCAUUAACAUGAAAAGUGACAUUGCCUUUGUUGCAAUCAAUAAAAUCCCCUGCAGUAUUAAGAAAAGGUCUUCCAAGAAUAAUAGACGUACUAUCAUCCUCGGGAAUAUCAAGAAUAACAAAGUCUGUUAAAAUAGUAAUGUUUGCAACCACAACAAGCACAUCCUCACAAAUACCGACAGGUAUAGCAGUUGAUUUAUCAGCAAAGAUAUUUCAGUAGGUGUCAACUUAUUCAAGUCAAGUCUACGAUAUAAAGAGAGAGGCAUACCACUAACACCGACUCGAAGAUCACAUAAAGCAGUUUUAGCAUAAUUUCUCUUAAUGGAGCAUGGUAUAGUAGGUACUCCGGGAUCUCCAAGUUCCUUUGGUAUUCCACCCUUAAAAGUAUAAUUAGCAAGCAUGGUGGAAAUUUCAGCUUCAGGUAUCUUUCUUUUAUUAGUAAUAAUAUCCUUCAUAUACUUAGCAUAAGGAUUUGUUUUGAGCACAUCGGUUAAUCGCAUACGCAAAAAGAUAGGUCUAAUCAUUUCAGCAAAGCGCUCAAAAUCCCCAUCAUCCUUUUUCUUGGAUGGUUUUGGAGGAAAAAGGCAUGGGUUUCUGAACCCAUGGUUCCCUUUCUUUACCAUGUUUCCUAGCAACGAAGUCUCUUUUAUCAUAACGUUGAUUCCUUGAUUGUGGGUUAUCAAGAUCAACAGCAGGUUCAACUUCUAUAUCAUUAUCAUUACUAGGUUGAGCAUUAUCAUGAACAUCAUCGUUAACAUUUUCACUAGGUUCAUGUUCAUUACUAGAUUGUGUUUCAGCAUCAGACAUGGAAAUAUCAUUUGGAUUCUCAGGUGACUCAGCAAUAGGUUCACUAGAAGUUUGCAAAGUCCUAUAAUUUUUCUUUUUCUUCCUUUUAGAAGAACUAGGUACAUCAAUAUCAUUUCUCUGAGAAUCUUGCUCGAUUCUCUUAGGGUGGCCUUCAAGAUACAAAGGUUCCUGAGUCAUUCUACCAGUUCUAGUAGCCACUCUAACAGCACAAUCAUUUUUCUUACUAUUCAUUUCAUCAAGCACCUCUUUUUGAGCUUCAAGUACUUGUUCUACUUGAGUGGUAACCAUAGAAGCAUGUUUGCUAACAAGUUUAAGUU